rnacentral:rRNA from 1 species
AACGAACGCUGGCGGCAUGCCUAACACAUGCAAGUCGAACGAGACCUUCGGGUCUAGUGGCGCACGGGUGCGUAACGCGUGGGAAUCUACCUUUAGGUGCGGAAUAACUCAGAGAAAUUUGUGCUAAUACCGCAUAAUGACUACGGUCCAAAGAUUUAUCGCCUAAAGAUGAGCCCGCGUAAGAUUAGGUAGUUGGUGAGGUAAGAGCUCACCAAGCCGACGAUCUUUAGCUGGUCUGAGAGGAUGAUCAGCCACACUGGGACUGAGACACGGCCCAGACUCCUACGGGAGGCAGCAGUGGGGAAUAUUGGACAAUGGGCGAAAGCCUGAUCCAGCAAUGCCGCGUGAGUGAUGAAGGCCUUAGGGUUGUAAAGCUCUUUUACCAGGGAUGAUAAUGACAGUACCUGGAGAAUAAGCUCCGGCUAACUCCGUGCCAGCCGCCGCAGUAA